UUUUUAUUCUUUUAUAUUAUAUUCAAAAUAUCACACAAAUCCAUUUAUCUCACAUCGUACUGUUUAAAUUUCAAUUCAAAAUUUAAAUCCCCGAAACACACCCUUACAUAAUUUUUUAAGUAAUUAUUAUUAUUAUUUUUUGGUAUGGAUCGUAUCCGUAUUUUUAAUUAGCUUAAUCAGCACUACGGAUUAUUAGAAGAUUCUUCCAAAAGGAAAACUACUGCACUCCCUCGUUUUGUCCCUUUCCGUUGUUUCUUCUGUCAGAAACAAGAUUCUUCACACACACAUACGCACGUGUCUGUGUGUGCUUUUCAUCUUCAGUUGAGAGAGCACUGCCCGUUGCAGGUCUACUUUAUCUGCGUAUGCAAUAACCCACUGUACGCCACGCUUCCCAUUUUGUACAUCGGAGACCGUGCCCCAUUCUCUGCCGCCCUUUUUUUUCUGUUAUCACUACAUUCUGGAAGCCUCGGAAAGCCCAGUGGAAGAAUCACAAUGCCAAACACGACUUUCCUCAAUUUCUCAGCGACUUUAUUUUGUUAAGUUUCAACAAAACACGAUUUUAGUUUGAAGUCCAAAAAUGAACAAUAUAAUAGGCCCAUCAAGGAUGGACUCCCGUCUCGAACUAUAAUUUUGGCGGGAAGUUGAUAAAAGGCCAUUUUGGAGCCUAUCGAAUUCGUCGCUGGUUCGGGAGAGGAGAGGAGAGGAGGCUGGAAGCAAAGCUCUGUGAUCGAAUUCAUGGAGAAGUAUUUGGUUCCUGCGAGUGAAUCGACGGAGAAACCGAAGUAUGUUAGAAGGCCUCGAUGGAAGCGAAGCCUUGUGGAAUUGAAUGGAAGAUUUGAUCCGAGCUAUAGACAUCAGCUGUCUACCCUUAUAAUUCAAUCGUAUUCCGAGAUUGGACUGUUCCCUCAUAGAUAUCAUGUCAAUGGAGAGCCGUGCCCGACGCACGCAGAAUGGUUUAUGAAUUCUGGAAGGAAUGAUAAUUCAAGUGCAGUUAAUAGGCAAGGUGUCUCAUCUCUUGAAUUUGAUUCCAAGGGUGUGUACUUGGCAUCUGUAACAAAAUCAGGUUGCUUAACUGUGCAUGACUUUGAUAACAUUCAAGCCUCAAGGUUGGUAGAAGAUGAAACAAAGCAGGUGAUGCACUUAGCUACUCAUCAACAACUUGAUGUUGUCCGGUGGAACCUUGCAAACCAAGAUGAGAUUGCGUGUACUUCAAUGAAGAGCAGCGAAGUCCAUAUUUUUGACAUUGGGUAUAUCUCACACGAACCGAUUGAAAUCUUGAGAAAAAGACCUAGCAUUACUGUUCAUGGUUUCAAUGUUCAGAAAGGCUUCUCCGACAUUGCUUUUUCAUCUGAGAACAAUUCCAGAUUGUUCGCCUCUGAUAGUAGUGGUACAAUCAAUAUUUGGGAUAGAAGACUGAGUGAUCUUCCAUGUUUGCAACUCAAGACGAAUUCUUCUGGCUCACUUAAUAGCAUCAGAUUAACUGCAGAUAAUGAAAUAAUUUAUGGAGCUAACAAGCAGGGGACUAUAUAUAUGUGGGAUUUACGUGGAGGAAGAUCACAUACCACAUUUACAAACCAUAAGGAGGAAUAUUUGUUUCCUUUGAUAACAGUUAAGUUGGCACAUGAGCUGGAGAAAAUAUCUCAUUUGAAGGCUCAGUCAAAUAUUGUUCCAAAGGAAAUACACUCUAUUGAUUUUGAUCCAUCCUGCCCUUACCAAUUGGCUUUUCAUCUCGAUGAUGGGUGGUCAGGUGUCCUGGACAUCAACAAGUUACAAGUUACACACAUUCAUUGCCCUCCACCUGCAUGGUUGGAUGAGUCCAAUGGUUUCACCAAUCUCACUCACUUGAGAAGGCCAUGUUGGCUUCAUACGAACUCAGUUUAUGUUGUUGGUUCAUCAUCCAGUAAUGGAAUUUAUCUUUUGGAUUUCUAUCCAGACAGCACUUCCCCCUGUCAUGUGGAUUACAAUAGUGAAGAGAGCGCCAACCAAGCAACUAAACAGCAUAAGCAAAACAGAUUUUUGCCAUUAUCCGAAAGUGUUACUGCAUGUGUAGCUCAUCCCCUGAACAACACAAUUUUAGCUGCAACCAAGGCAUCCUCACUGAUCGUGAUUUCUCAAUCAAAAGUGUCAUGCUAAGCUGCAUAGUAUGUAGGGCAACUACAAACCGAGGAGUCUAAGUUGGCAUGCCAGAGUCAUAAGACAAGAAGUAAACAGGAUUCGUGAAAUGAUUCUGAGUAGUGAAUACACAUGUUUUUGCUCUGGGCUCCAUUAUAAGGUAUGCUUUCUCAUCUUUUUAUGUAUUUAAAUUCUAAACAAAGUACAGGUGUUUUGUGACAUUGGCUUCGUAUGAGAGCUUCUGAUUAAACACUAUUCUAGUUUUUGCUCAUAUUAUCUAUUUUCUUCAUUUUAUAUUCUAAGCAAUACUGUAUUUUGAUAUAUUAUAAGUACCCUCCUGCCACCCCACCACCCAUCUUCCACUUUGAGUUGCAUCAGUUUGCUCAGAUCUUGAUAACAAUUGACAACAGUGUUAGAUGUGAAUUUUGUAAAUUUUGAAAUAUCAUAUACAUUUAGAGGCAGGUGCAUAUAGUAAUUUGUUGAUCUUUUACUCAGAAUCAUAAAAGUAACAAUAUUUGAUUUUAGUUGAAAGAAGCAUCUCCCUCGUGUAUGUGAUCUUUUCUGCUUGUAUAAGUUUCAUAAAUCUGCAGUGACAUAAUCAUGUUGCACCAAAUUUAACUUUUCAUUUUCUUAGAAUACAUGAUACUAUGUAAUUUUGUUUUCUUUUCAUUUCUCAUUUUACUUUAAAGCAAAAUCUUAUCCUGAUCUUUGUGAUGUCAGUACAUAAUAUAUUUAAUAUUCUUUAAAUAAUGCAAGAAAACAAAUGCUUAUUAAUAAUUAAAUGUUAGUGAUCCAACCGCCCCAUAAAUAUUAUUAAUUGUUAUUAUCUCAGGGAGUUGCGCGUCA